UGUAUUUACUGGGUUUAAACAAGCUAAGCUAGGGGUAGUUUAUUUAGCCUUUAAAAAGAUUUGCAUCCAUAUCAAAGGGACAGAGGAAUAAUUUAUAAAUACUGGGUUUUUCAAAGAAAUGCUGUGAGGAAAAGGAAGGAGAGAAGAUCUCUUUCCCUUUGGAAACAGUGAAAAUUCAGUUUUAAAAUUUGAAAGCAAGUUUAUUAGAAAAGUAAAGAAACAAGAGAAUGGCUACUCCACAGGCAAAGCAGCCCUGAGGGCUGCUGGCUGGCCACUUUUAUGGUCAUUUCCUGAUUAUAUGCUAAAGAAGGGGUGGAUUAUUCGUGAAUUUUCUAGGAAAGGGGUGGGUAAUUCCUGGAACUGAGAGUUCCUCCCCUUCAUAGACUAUAUAGGGUAACUUCUUGACAUUGCCAUGGCAUUUGUAAACUGUUAUGGUGCUGGUAGGAGUGUCUU
rnacentral:lncRNA from 1 species